rnacentral:misc_RNA from 1 species
UUUCCGUAGGUGAACCUGCGGAAGGAUCAUUACUGAUUUGCUUAAUUGCACCACAUGUGUUUUUCUUUGAAACAAACUUGCUUUGGCGGUGGGCCCAGCCUGCCGCCAGAGGUCUAAACUUACAACCAAUUUUUUAUCAACUUGUCACACCAGAUUAUUACAAAUAGUCAAAACUUUCAACAACGGAUCUCUGGGUUCUCGCAUCGAUGAAGAACGCAGC